rnacentral:rRNA from 1 species
CCUACGGGUGGCUGCAGUGGGGAAUAUUGGACAAUGGGGGGAACCCUGAUCCAGCCAUGCCGCGUGUGUGAAGAAGGCCCUCGGGUUGUAAAGCACUUUCAGUGAGGAAGAACGCCUGGUGGUUAAUACCCAUCAGGAAAGACAUCACUCACAGAAGAAGCACCGGCUAACUCCGUGCCAGCAGCCGCGGUAAUACGGAGGGUGCGAGCGUUAAUCGGAAUUACUGGGCGUAAAGCGCGCGUAGGUGGCUUGAUAAGCCGGUUGUGAAAGCCCCGGGCUCAACCUGGGAACGGCAUCCGGAACUGGCAAGCUAGAGUGCAGGAGAGGAAGGUAGAAUUCCCGGUGUAGCGGUGAAAUGCGUAGAGAUCGGGAGGAAUACCAGUGGCGAAGGCGGCCUUCUGGACUGACACUGACACUGAGGUGCGAAAGCGUGGGUAGCAAACAGGAUUAGAUACCCCAGUAGUC